UCAAGCUAAGAAGAGCGUAGGGAGGAUGCCUUGGCACUAGGCGCCGAAGAAGGACGUGACAAGCUGCGAAAAGCUGCGGGGAGCUGCAAAUGAGCCUUGAUCCGCAGAUAUCCGAAUGAGGAAACUCACUGACGGUAACACGUCAGUAUCCGUACAUGAACACAUAGUGUACAGGAAGGGAACCCGGAGAACUGAAACAUCUCAAUAUCCGGAGGAAGAGAAAGAAACAUCGAUUUCCUGAGUAGUGGUGAGCGAAAGGGAAAGAGCCCAAACCGAAGAAGUAGCAAUACGGAAUCGGGGUAAAGGACCGACAUCACGUGUAUCGAACGUAACCGAAUCGUCAGGAAAGGCGAGCCGAAGACGGUGACAGCCCGGUAGGUGAAACGGGAAGAUAUGCAGUCGGUAUCCGGAGUACCACAGGACACGAGGAAUCCGGUGGGAAGACAGCAGGACCAUCUGCUAAGGCUAAAUACGACCUAGUGACCGAUAGAGUAUAGUACCGAGAGGGAACGGUGAAAAGAACCCCGGGAGGGGAGUGAAAGAGAACCUGAAACCCUAUGCUUACAAGCAGACAGAGCACUACGGUAGUGAUACCAAGUGUGAUGUCGUACCUUUUGUAGAAUGGGCCGGCGAGUUACGAUUUGUAGCGAGGUUAAGGUAUUAAGUACCGGAGCCGAAGCGAAAGCGAGUCUUAAUAGGGCGAAUAAGUUGCAAGUUGUAGACCCGAAACUAGAUGACCUAUCCAUGGGCAGGUUGAAGCUGCGGUAAAACGCAGUGGAGGACCGAACACACGCCUGUUGAAAAAGUCGGUGAUGACCUGUGGAUAGCGGAGAAAUUCCAAACGAAUCUAGAGAUAGCUGGUUCUCCUCGAAAUAGCUUUAGGGCUAGCCUCUAUUGAUGUGUACCGAAGGUAGAGCUCUGUAUAGGCUAGGGGGCUUCACAGCUUACUGAACCUUAACAAACUGCGAAUAUCGGAUACACAAGAUAGGGAGUCAGACAGCGAGAGAUAAGUUCCGUUGUCAAAAGGGAAACAGCCCAGAUCCACAACUAAGGUCCCAAAGUACAGAUUAAGUGGUAAAGGAUGUGUCAUUGCAUAAACAACCAGGAUGUUGGCUCAGAAGCAGCCACACAUUCAAAGAGUGCGUAAUAGCUCACUGGUCGAGUGAUGAUGCGCCGAAGAUUACCGGGGCUAAAAUCUGACACCGAAGUUUGGGGAUGUAUGUAAAUACAUCGGUAGAGGAGCAAUGUAUGAAGGCAGAAGCCGUAUCGAAAGGGGCGGUGGACGACAUACAAGAGAGAAUGCCGGCAUAAGUAGCGAGAGCGGAGUGAGAAACUCCGCCGUCGAAAGUCUAAGGUUUCCUGGGGAAGGUUCGUCCACCCAGGGUAAGUCGGGACCUAAGUCGAGGGCGAAAGCCGUAGAUGAUGGACAACUGGUUGAUAUUCCAGUACUGCCGAAGACGUCUAAAUGAUGCAGUGACACGGAAGGAUAGUCGGGGCGCAUUGAUGGAAAGGUGCGUUCAAAUCAUGAGACCGAUAUGUAGUGAAGUACGCAUAUCAAGGUUAGGUGAUGAUGAGGAGUCCGAAGGACGAAGCCGAUGAAUUCACGCCGGCGAGAAAAGCUGCUAAAUAAGUCAAAAGGCACCCGUACCGCAAACCGACACAGGUAGACGAGGAGAAAAUCCUAAGACGAACGGGAGAACCCUUGUUAAGGAACUCUGCAAAAUGACCCCGUAACUUCGGGAGAAGGGGUGCCUAUGAAAAUAGGUCACAGAAAAGAGGCUCAAGCGACUGUUUACCAAAAACACAGGUCUCUGCGAAAUCGAAAGAUGACGUAUAGGGGCUGACACCUGCCCAGUGCUGGAAGGUUAAGAGGAAGUGUUAGCAGCAAUGCGAAGCACCGAAUUUAAGCCCCAGUGAACGGCGGCCGUAACUAUAACGGUCCUAAGGUAGCGAAAUUCCUUGUCGGGUAAGUUCCGACCCGCACGAAUGGUGUAACGAUUUGAGCGCUGUCUCAAGAGCUUUACUGUAACUUGAUAUUGAAUUUCGGUACUUAAUGUACAGGAUAGGUGGGAGACUGAGAAGUACAGGCGUCAGCCUGUAUGGAGUCACCGUUGGGAUACCACCCUUUAAUUAUUGGGAUUCUAACGAUAGACCGUAAUCCGGCUAUCGAACAGUGUCAGGUGGGCAGUUUGACUGGGGCGGUCGCCUCCCAAAAUGUAACGGAGGCGUUCAAAGGUUCCCUCAGAAUGGUUGGAAAUCAUUCGCAGAGUGUAAAGGUAUAAGGGAGCUUGACUGAGAGACAGACAUGUCGACCAGAUACGAAAGUAGGACUUAGUGAUCCGGCGGUAGAGAAUGGAAUUGCCGUCGCUUAGCGGAUAAAAGUUACCUCGGGGAUAACAGGCUUAUCUCCCCCAAGAGUUCACAUCGACGGGGAGGUUUGGCACCUCGAUGUCGGCUCGUCACAUCCUGGGGCUGUAGUCGGUCCCAAGGGUUCGGCUGUUCGCCGAUUAAAGUGGCACGCGAGCUGGGUUCAGAACGUCGUGAGACAGUUCGGUCCCUAUCCAUCGUGGGCGUAGGAUAUUUGAAAGGCGCUGUCCCUAGUACGAGAGGACCGGGAUGGACAUACCUAUUGUGCACCAGUUGUCACACCAGUGGCACAGCUGGGUAGCGAUGUAUGGAUUGGAUAAACGCUGAAGGCAUCUAAGCGUGAAACCAACCUUAAGAUUAGAUAUCCCAUAUCAUAAGAUAGUAAGACCCCUUGAAGACCACAAGGUUGAUAGGUCGGGCGUGUAAGUGCAGUAAUGCAUUAAGCUAACCGAUACUAAUAGGUCGAGGGCUUGAUCAG
rnacentral:rRNA from 1 species